CCUUUCGUAGCUUGGUAGUUAGAGCAGUGGCAUGUAAAGCCAAAGGUUCAGGGUUCGAAUCCUGGCGACGGUA
rnacentral:tRNA from 1 species